UAGUCCACGCCGUAAACGAUGUUCACUCGCUGUUGGCGAUAUAUAGUCAGUGGCUAAGCGAAAGCGAUAAGUGAACCACCUGGGGAGUACGUCGGCAACGAUGAAACUCAAAGGAAUUGACGGGGGCCCGCACAAGCGGUGGAACAUGUGGUUUAAUUCGAUGAUACGCGAGGAACCUUACCUGGACUUAAAUGUAGGUUGCAUAAGCCAGAGAUGGCUUUUUCUUCGGACUACCUACAAGGUGCUGCAUGGUUGUCGUCAGCUCGUGCCGUGAGGUGUCGGGUUAAGUCCCAUAACGAGCGCAACCCCUAUCAUUAGUUGCUAACAGGUCAAGCUGAGGACUCUGAUGAGACUGCCGGUGUAAACCGCGAGGAAGGUGGGGAUGACGUCAAAUCAGCACGGCCCUUACGUCCAGGGCUACACACGUGUUACAAUGGCCGGUACAGAGGGCAGCUACUUGGUGACAAGAUGCGAAUCUCGAAAGCCGGUCUCAGUUCGGAUCG
rnacentral:rRNA from 1 species